UUUAGCUUUAUGAUCCCCAUAAAUUAGAUUUAUGAACUGUUGCUCCCAAAAAGGACACUGAGGCCCAGAGAUGUGAAGUCCUUGGUCAAAGAUCACAUAGGCGGGGAGCAGAAGGCGGAGUGGAGCCUCAACCUCCACUUUCCCUGGGCUCCUUUCCUGGUUUGGGCUGCUCAGGACAAGAGGCUGGGUUUGAUUUAUCACGGGGCAUAGUAGCUGCUCAUUAAACUUCAAAUGCAGAGAAAAGGGAGGCGCAGAGGAAGGCAGGGGUGGGACUGGCUAGAGCCCUGACGCAGACCAGCAGUCCUCAGCCUCCAGGUCUCCAUGUCCCCUCCUCCAGGAAGCCCUGCCUGACCCUAGGCUGGAUCAGCGCCUUGCUCCCAGCCCUGCCCACUCUGGGUCAUCACUGCCUGGGGACCAGACUGUGAGCCCCAGAGGGCAGAGGCAGGACUGUUGUCCCCACAGUGUCCCCAGGCAUUGCCCAGCAUGGAGCCAGUCCCGGUAUGGGGGCUCAUGGGGGCUCAGAAUAUUAGGUAAAAUAAUGAAGCUAAACUUGGAUAGAAGUCUGUCUUUUCCCCGUGUUUUUUAUCGGCGUUAUACAUAACGGUGAGAUUUCCUGUUGUUUUCUUUUACCGGGGUUGAACCCAGGGGCACUCUAGCACUGAGCUACACCCCAGAGCCUUUUCUUUUAUUUUUCCUCUUGACACAGGGUCUCUCUAAGUUACCCAGGCUGGCCUUGAACUUGAUCCUCCUGCACCAGCUUCCUGAGUUGCUGGGAUUGCACCACACCAG
rnacentral:lncRNA from 1 species